CACCUAACUGUCUAUAGUGUAAGCUCUUUCGGGCUGGGAAUAUCUAAUGUCUGUAAGGCACUGGGGCCUGGGACUGUAUGAAGUAGUGAUCACUCAUUCCUGCCUAAAAUCUAAGGAGAGUACUUUCCACCUUUCACCUGAUGCUGCAGGAUGCAAGAUCUUCCAGCAGACCAGAGACAACCCCCCACAAGAGGACCCUGCUUAUGACAAACUUCAUUGGAUGCCAAGUGAGAUCUUCUCUCCUGAGUCAGCCGGAAGCAGAAAAACUAAUAGGGCAAGUGCCGAUAUCAGCAUGCAAGGAAUGAG